ensembl:lncRNA
AAAGCCCUGAGUGAGCUCCUCUGUCAGCGGCUCUGGAGCUCGGUGCCCGGCUAAUCACCCAGAGAGGGCCCUCCUGGAACCCAGGCGGCCGCGGACCUUGGAAGUGGUGAGGAGAGCCCUGUCGGGAACGUGCAAGCUGCGCAUGCGCAGCUGGGCGUGGCAUCCUCCAGGACGCUCUCCUUCCCUCUCUGAGAGGCUGGAACGCUUACACGUGCUGCCAGGACCCGGAGGCGGAAGCGGAGGUAAACCCGGGGCUGCUCUGGUCUGGCCACGCCCCAGGGGCGGGGAUUUAAGAGGCCUGGUCCUGGGAGGUAGUCUUCCGCCGCAGGCUUCCGUCUGGGGGUCCAUGUCCUGGCUGAGGCUCAGUGCUGGGGGCCUGGCUCCAUCUCCCCUCCCAUCCCACCCGGGACAAAUCUGACUCCGCAGCUUGCCCAGUGCUGAUCCAGGCGAGAAGCUCUUGGCGCGGAUGUUCCCAGGACUGGCGUAACCUGAAAGACAGGUGCUCUGCCUUUGGGGUAGUGGCCCACCCUGAGCUGCCUUCGUCUCCAGGAGGGCGGGGGGGCGGGGUGGAACCCCCCUUCCCCAGCCUCUUCCUCGCUCCUGUGUGCGCACCGACACGGCUUCAGACUCACCACCUGGGCCCUCGGUUCGAAGCUCCUUUUAAAACACAGAGUCCCGUGAGUGACCAGAUAGCACCGGUUUGCAGAGUUUAAAAGUUUUUUUUGAAUGUGUGCACAGCUCAUCAUUGCUCUGCUGAGCAGCCUCCGGAACGAGGAUGGAGCCCAGGACGCCCCUGCCCUGUGGCGAGGGCAGCCGUCCCUCACGCAGCAGCUCUCAGCCUGUCUCGGCAGUGGUUAGAAUGGCCCGCGGAGCUUUCCGUAAGCCCGAUGCCCAGGCCGCACCCCGGGCCGAGCUUCACCGUGGGGCGCGGCUCCCAGCGACCUCCCCACUGGGGGUCUCUCCUGGCACAGCCAUGGGCGGGUGGGCAUCGGAGCAGCUCCCGGCUGGCAGCUCGCAAAGCCCGCCUUUCGAAGAGCCCAGCCUGUGGCCGGGGUCUGCAGCCAGGACACCUGGGCCCAUCUGGGGUCUUCGCUGAUGAGCAAGCUCGGGCAAGGGCUUGUUCUGAGUGGGGUCCUCACCUGUGCCCCGGAGGACAGGAGCCCCUUGCAGGCUUACUGCGAAGACAGAAUGUGAGAAGAGCUAGGGGGACGUGCAGAUGCUGUGCAGAGGCUGCUUCAAGGAUGAGCCUGCUCUGCUGCUGGGGAGAGUGACCCCCCCCCCUUCACCUUCUAAUCUUUUCAUAGACUCCGGCUUCCUGAAGCACUUUUAUUUUCUUCAAAGGAUGCUCAAUAUUUUCUCUCUCCAGGUCACUUUAUUCAGGCCCUUGUCGCCUUGCCCCAUAAAUUCCCCACCUUCCCAGCUCAAUCCUGGAGAUGGAAUAGCCCUUGUCCUCGGCUCUCUCCUUUCUCUGCUCCCGCACCCCCCCCACCUGACCUUUCCCAUCUCCUGAACUUGGGUUUUCUGCUUUCUUUGAGGCCUUACCCCCAGUCUGGUUCUUGUCCAGGUGAAGUUGCUGGUUCGUUUUAAUUACCCUGCUUUUUCCCAGGGUGUUUCUAGUCCCUGGAACUUUCUUCCCCCAGUUCCAAACCUCUGCCUGAUCUGACUUUGGUGCUCCCCCACAGGGUUCUGUCGGGGGCACUAAAAUACCCUGCAUGGGCCGUGACCUGUUUGGGGCAGUUCACUGAACUGUCCUCAGGACCCGCUGCUCGCUGUCCCUUCCUUUCUUCAUAACCCCAGGGGACCUUCGGAGGCCAGACAGACAGUCAAUGCCAUGCGUGUGUGGGCAUGUCUGUGUGCACGUGUGUGCACGUGUGUGUCAUUUGCACAUAGUGAGUUGCUUCUUCCCUUUCGCCUGCCCGUGUUUCAUUCCUGGUGGGCCGAGCAUGGCACAGUUUUAGGUGAGAUGCCCACCCAUCUCCCAGCGAGAGAACAGAAGAAGGAAUACAUGGAUUUCGGCGGGAUUUGGUCCAAGAAAUCACGAGUGAGAAUUUCACAUAACUCUGCAGGGAAAGAUUUGUAUCCAAGAAUUUUAUAAUGACAGUGUUUGGGUGUGGGCAUGACGCCCAGCAACGUAAAUCAUGAUGUUUGAAUCAGGGGUUAUGAAAACUGGUUCUUGAGUUUAUAGAUGUUGGCAUUGCUGAAUGGCCAGAUGCCAUGGCGCGAUGCAGUGAGAGCCUCACCUUCGUGGCACAAGUUAAGAGUCACGGCGCCGUGGAGGCCUGCAGUGGCCCCUGUCCUCCCCCUGAACCCCCUGCAGCCCCAGGCUGGUGGUUAGCCGUGCGGUGGGCUGGAUGGACUCCCUCCAGGGUCCUCAGGGCCGGCGAGACAAGGUUCACAGUUUGACCCCCUAGGAAGAGUGGAUCUGCUGAAACCCUUACCCAGGAUUUGACACACAGGCUCUCGGUAGCAGGAACUGGGCCCAGCCUCCCUGCUCUCGAGGCCCAACGUGUUCUCAGAACAUAGACGAAGCCGGUCAGUGCUGCCCGUAAUUUCCAAGAGAUAAAAGAUUCGGGGUGCUUUGUGGGAACUCGGGUGCUUGCUGCAGCUCCUGCCUAGGGAGACAGGGAAGAAGGCACUUAUGGCCCAUCCGAGAGAAAGCAGGACUCGAGAAAUUGGGGCUGCAGUCCUCUUUCCAAGAGUUAGAAACAACCCACAUGUCUGUCAACAGACAAAAGGGAAAACACGACAUGCUCCGUCUGUGCAGUGGAAUACUGUCCGCCAUUCAAAGGGAUGAAGCACCGGGACCUGCAACACCAUGGAUGUUCUGCUCAGUGAAAGGAGCCAGACACAGAAGGCCACGUACUGGAUGAUCCCAUUUAUGUGAAAUGUCCAGAAUAGGAAAAUCCACCGAGAGAGAAAGCAGAUUAGUGGCUGCCAGGGCUGGAGGGGGUGGGGGGAGGCCAGGAGGGUUGGGGAGGUGAUAGCUAAAGGGUACAGGGUUUUUUAGGGGCAUGGUGGAGAUGAUUGAUUUAAAAAUGAUUGUGGUGAUGGUUGCCCAACUCUGUGAAUACACUGAAAAUGAUGGGACUUUACAUUUUAAAUGGGUGAAUUGUAUGGCAUGUGUCUUAUAUUCCAAUAAAUCUGAAACAACAACAAAAAAGAAAUAGAAGUGGGCCUGCUCAGGUGGACUGUCCAGGUGCCACCAAAGCUGACUUUGGAGCCCACCUGCCUCCUGGACCUGCCACCACGGCCCUCCCUCUCCACGUCUGUUCUAUUUUAGAACACGUCGGCCCUACCAGUUAAAUUUUUGUGCUGUUGCUCAGUCUUGAGAGAGUCGGCCAUGGUGCCCUAUUGCAAUGGCCCUUCCUGGUAGAAAUGGUGGAAAAAGAGGCCCCGCGUCACUGGGAGCAGAUCAAAGGUCUGUGAACAGAGUCGCUGCCAGGUACUUGAGUGUUGCACAACUGAAUAAAUGAGUGAUGGGAAUAUAAACAGAUGCGGCAGUUCAGCGUCAAGGUUCGUUAGGAAUGAGAAUCUGCACGCCAGCAAGUUUCGUCUUGAACUGACGUUAAGCUUUGUCAAUCACUGCCAUUCUUGGCGUGAAUCUCAUUCUGCCACAUAUUCUGGAUCUCAGAGAAUGGAAACAGGCAUGAUCGCUCUAAAUGCUGUUAGGAUUCUAGAGUCCUCUUCACAUGGGAUAUUAGUCCUUUCACAGUGAUAUUUGGAGACAUGAUGGCCUGAGAGGUUGCGAUGACCUUCUAGAAUUUGUCUCCAAAAUCCUACCUCUAUCCACGCUGGAAAACCCAGGCUACUUGCUGGCUAAACCGUGGAGCUGAUUCUCAGUUCUGCACGGUUCCCCACAGGCUGUCCUCUUCCUUCCCUCUGGUCUGGGGCUUCCUCCUCUUUGAGGCUCUGCUCUGUGAUCACUUGCCUCCCCUUGGGUCCACCUGUCAUUCCUCCUCUCAGGCCCCCAGUAUCAGAGCUGGACGCAAGCUUCCCACUGCUUUCUCUACUCUGCUCUCUUGAGGACAAGGACACACAUGACUUUUUGUUCUUAAGGGCUGCAGUGGAUAGAAUAAUGG